AGAGUUUGAUCAUGGCUCAGGACGAACGCUGGCGGCGUGCCUAAUACAUGCAAGUAGAACGCUGAAGAGAGGAGCUUGCUCUUCUUGGAUGAGUUGCGAACGGGUGAGUAACGCGUAGGUAACCUGCCUUGUAGCGGGGGAUAACUAUUGGAAACGAUAGCUAAUACCGCAUAACAAUGGAUGACCCAUGUCAUUUAUUUGAAAGGGGCAAAUGCUCCACUACAAGAUGGACCUGCGUUGUAUUAGCUAGUAGGUGAGGUAACGGCUCACCUAGGCGACGAUACAUAGCCGACCUGAGAGGGUGAUCGGCCACACUGGGACUGAGACACGGCCCAGACUCCUACGGGAGGCAGCAGUAGGGAAUCUUCGGCAAUGGGGGCAACCCUGACCGAGCAACGCCGCGUGAGUGAAGAAGGUUUUCGGAUCGUAAAGCUCUGUUGUAAGUCAAGAACGAGUGUGAGAGUGGAAAGUUCACACUGUGACGGUAGCUUACCAGAAAGGGACGGCUAACUACGUGCCAGCAGCCGCGGUAAUACGUAGGUCCCGAGCGUUGUCCGGAUUUAUUGGGCGUAAAGCGAGCGCAGGCGGUUUGAUAAGUCUGAAGUUAAAGGCUGUGGCUCAACCAUAGUUCGCUUUGGAAACUGUCAAACUUGAGUGCAGAAGGGGAGAGUGGAAUUCCAUGUGUAGCGGUGAAAUGCGUAGAUAUAUGGAGGAACACCGGUGGCGAAAGCGGCUCUCUGGUCUGUAACUGACGCUGAGGCUCGAAAGCGUGGGGAGCGAACAGGAUUAGAUACCCUGGUAGUCCACGCCGUAAACGAUGAGUGCUAGGUGUUGGAUCCUUUCCGGGAUUCAGUGCCGCAGCUAACGCAUUAAGCACUCCGCCUGGGGAGUACGACCGCAAGGUUGAAACUCAAAGGAAUUGACGGGGGCCCGCACAAGCGGUGGAGCAUGUGGUUUAAUUCGAAGCAACGCGAAGAACCUUACCAGGUCUUGACAUCCCGAUGCUAUUUCUAGAGAUAGAAAGUUACUUCGGUACAUCGGUGACAGGUGGUGCAUGGUUGUCGCCAGCUCGUGUUGUGAGAUGUUGGGUUAAGUCCCGCAACGAGCGCAACCCCUAUUGUUAGUUGCCAUCAUUCAGUUGGGCACUCUAGCGAGACUGCCGGUAAUAAACCGGAGGAAGGUGGGGAUGACGUCAAAUCAUCAUGCCCCUUAUGACCUGGGCUACACACGUGCUACAAUGGUUGGUACAACGAGUUGCGAGUCGGUGACGGCAAGCUAAUCUCUUAAAGCCAAUCUCAGUUCGGAUUGUAGGCUGCAACUCGCCUACAUGAAGUCGGAAUCGCUAGUAAUCGCGGAUCAGCACGCCGCGGUGAAUACGUUCCCGGGCCUUGUACACACCGCCCGUCACACCACGAGAGUUUGUAACACCCGAAGUCGGUGAGGUAACCUUUUGGAGCCAGCCGCCUAAGGUGGGAUAGAUGAUUGGGGUGAAGUCGUAACAAGGUA
rnacentral:rRNA from 1 species